rnacentral:lncRNA from 1 species
GGCGGGCGCUGCGGGCCGGGCCCAGGUAGGCUCCGCGGGCGGCCCUGGCGGGAGCUCGGCCGGGAGGGGACGCCUGCGCACGCCGGGCCCCGCGGCGCCCCGUCGUUCCCCGGCGCUUGCUUUUUAGCGACCCUCCAACGCCUCGACUCUCCGCGAUGCCGCCGAAGCAAAGUAAAAGAAAACGGAAAACGUCUGGUUUCUGGGCGUUCUCUAACAGCCGGACCGCUCACAUUCUGGAAAACCUCUGUCAACACGCUUCCACCUCCGCAAAGGAAGCCCAUUUGGAAGAAAACUCUAACACAAGUAGACUUCACUUCGUUUUAGUUUGGCAUUUUAGAGAGAAUUUCCGAUUUAUUUUUGGUUUUAAGUCUGAUGUGAGGGAAGGAUAAAGAGAGCAUACUCCCACCUCCUCCGACUUCCAGUGUGCGUCUAAGAACAAUUGGAGAGGUAAUAGAACUGUUAAGCAGUCUGGUGAUGGUAUCCAGCGUCAAUCCAGGAAAAUAAGAACACUUACACAGGAUGGGACAGCUAGGAUAGCACACGAAAACGUUUUUGUGGAGGAAAAAGGAUUGGGAAUGUACCUGUUGUUUUCACCCUAAACCAAAAGCUUGUUUAUUGUUACUGAUUAAAAGACUGUUUUGCAAAGAGCCCUAAGUAUUGCACCCAGAAGAUAUAAUUAAAUGUUAAUGAGCACAUCGAGUAAAUAACAAAAGCAAACCUGUCAUCUGUGGAGAACUGAAGACCUUUCAAAUGAAGGGAGAGCAAGAAAAUUAGGGAAAAUAGUAUCCUACAAAAGGUCUCAGGAAAUAAAGUAGAGAUUCUUGCCCUGGGCAGACAGUGAAUAUAAAAAGAGUUCACUGUCUGAGACUCCAAACAAAUAGAUUAUAAAAUAACAAUAGUCAGCAAAUGGGCUCAAGAAAUCUUUUUGGAGGGGUGGACAUGCUGUGAAACCAGAUUGUGGAGAUGUUUGCACAACUGUGUACAUUUACUAAAAAUUAUCGAACUCUGCACUUAUAAUGGGUGAAUUUUAUGGUACAUAAAUUGUAACUCAAUAAAGCUGUUAAAAUUAAGAAAAUAACACUAACAAGAGUCAUGUUCCAGGAAAUUACAUUUUUAUUACAAG